AGCAGCCGCGGUAAUUCCAGCUCCAAUAGCGUAUAUUAAAGUUGUUGCAGUUAAAAAGCUCGUAGUUGAAUUUCGGGGUUCUACCGUCGGUCGGGCUACCAAGUCUGUACUGGUGUGUAGAGUCCCUACCUUCUGGGGAACUAUCAUGUUAUUAAUUUAGCGUGGUAGGAAACCAGGACCUUUACCUUGAAAAAAUUAGAGUGUUCAAAGCAGGCUUAUGUCUGAAUACAUUAGCAUGGAAUAAUAGAAUAGGACGGUGGUCCUGUUUUGUUGGUUUCUGAAUCACCGUAAUGAUUAAUAGGGAUAGUUGGGGGCAUUAGUAUUCAAUUGUCAGAGGUGAAAUUCUUGGAUUUAUUGAAGACUAACUUCUGCGAAAGCAUUUGCCAAGGAUGUUUUCAUUAAUCAAGAACGAAAGUUAGGGGAUCGAAGACGAUCAGAUACCGUCGUAGUCUUAACCAUAAACUAUGCCGACUAGGGAUCGGACGAUGUUAAAUUUUAUUGACUCGUUCGGCGCCUUACG
rnacentral:rRNA from 1 species